ensembl:lncRNA
GCAACUAUUACAUCUGAUAUUAAUAUGUACAACAAAAUAGAAAGAAGAAAACGCACAAGAGAAAAACAACUCAGUUCUACAAAAGUAAAGCAAACGAAUGUUAAUUCAGAUGACAUCAAAGAAACCAAGCUUCAAGAUCAAGAGAAAGAAAAACGUAAACAGGAAGCAUUAUUAAAAGUAAUUCCACAAUACAGUCAACAUUUUGUAUUCUAUUCAGGCCAGAGGAAGGAUCAUGACCAUUGUAAGUCAAAAAACCAAGGAAGCAGGAAAAUUCUGAUUGUUACAGAACAAGAUGUCCCACAGCAGAUUCAAUCCACAGAUCCAGGGCAAGGACAGAACUUGAAGAAAGACCUCCAGACUCAAAAUGGCAUGAUAUAUACAAGUUUAAAGAUUCCUUUUCUAAACUCAGAGGAAUCAUCAGUUGGUGAAGAUAUAAUUGGCACAGAAAAAUAUGGCAUCCCAAUUGACGGGAAGCAUGUGAGGGAACCACACAGCCAAGGUAAAGAGGAAAAAGCAGGGUUUAAAGAUGAUCUACAGGCAGCAGCUGUACUGGAAUCUUCCAGACUCUCCACAAUUGAUCUACCUGAAUCCAAAAGGCAGAGAAAGACAUUUACAUCUAGAGUCAUAAAAAGAAAAAUGAGUCCUACAUGGAUAAUUAUGAAGGCAAAAAAAAUACCAGUUUCGAAGAUAUUUAAUAUUCCACAGAGUGGUUGUCGAAAAAAUUUUUUAUCUCCAAAGACCCUAAUGACACAGAUUGUUGAAUUUUUAUCAUGCUGUAGCAGCAUCAUAUCUUCUGGGUUUCAUAUGGUCAUACUGGAAGAUCCAAUAGUAGAGAAAAAGAAAAUAUCAGCACAGGAAAUGCCAGCAAUGAUUUUGGAGUGUUUGGAUUCCUCCACACUUGCUUUACCUGUAUCUAAAAGAGAGAGAAACAACUUAAUGCUAAUGAAAAGGAGACAUAAGAUGAGACCAAAAUGCAUCACUUUGAAGGCAAAGAAGACACCAUUCUCCCAGACAUUUAAUAUCACAGGACGUCACACACCAUGCCAAAGAAGGCAAUUCAACUCUGAAACAACAACUAAACAAGGUAAACCUGUGGCAGAUAUAUUCCUAAAUGCCACUGGCUUUCUCAUGCCUGUGCUGCUUGACACAAAAGUAUGUGACAGAGUGGAAGAGACCAAGAGGCUGGGGAAUACACAGAGUAGCAAUGGGUUACAACAGCAAGAGCAGUCAGCACACAACAAGACAGACCCACAUGCACAUCUGGGUGACGAGGACACGAGCCCUAAUGGCACUAAAGAUAUAAUAGAUCAAGGUGGAGAGACAGCCCUGCGGGUGUCCCAGCACUUCAGCUUCAGUGCUCAUGGAAUAAAGGCAACUAACUUUAAAUCAGAUCUAGAACUGAAGACUUCAGCAAGCAACAAAAUCCCAGACGUCUUUUCUACACCUCUAGAGCUGCAGCAUCAAAUAGUUGCCGAACAAAGUAGAUUAAAUUCUAUUGCAAAUACAUUUUCAUUUGAGAAGCUACCAAAAAGAACAAAAUCACAAAAAGACUUAAAAGAUAUAUGGAGUGGAAAGAUUUCAUCUCCAAUGGCAGAAAAAUCAGUUAGUGAACUUUUAAUUGAUACAACAAAUAGUCAUAUCCCAUUUGAAAGAGGCACUGGGAAGGAAUUUGCUAGUCUUACUGCAGAGGGAAAGGUAUGUUUGCAAAAGGACUUACAAGAUAGAACUCUAGAGCCUCUUGAUUUUUCCAUGCCUACUUCGUUUGAAUUUAAAGGGCAAAGAAAUGCAGUACAAAUUGCUAAAUCCAUAACUGGGAAAACACAGAUGCCAUUAGUUUUUGAGAGAAGUAAUAUCACUAGAUAUUGUGCCCUUAGUUGUAGAAAGAAAAGGAAAC